CUUGAUCAAAACUUUGAACCAAAGGUGAGAUUUAUGUGAGAUAAAGCUUUAUGCUUGCUCCCACAAUUUUUGCCAAUCUCCCUAUUUACAUUUUGCACAAUUUUUUUUCCGAGAAUUUUAAUGAUUUGCCUUGAAAGUUUGAACUAGAGUCACGAAAUAGGACAGGGAUUAAGGUAGUCAUCAUUAGAGACUAUUUCAUAAUUGAAUGAACUGAACUGGGCUGAUUUGAAACCCAAUUAAUUUUUUUUUAGCUGCAAAAUUCAAAUUGAAACCGCAUUAAGUGAAAGCUUAGAAUCAGACAUCUUUUUCUUCACCAAACUUAUACCUGACUCUAGAUAGAGAACAUGUGUUCAAUAUAAUUUGCCGGGAUCAGAGAAACAAACAUUUUGAUUCUAAGUUGAGGGGCCAUUUGUGCAACGGUUAUAUUAUGAACAUUGAGUUGGGAAUUCCAUAUUAAAAGAAUAUGAAGUAAAAGAAUAAUAUAUAAGUGGUUGAGUUACAAUAUUAAAUUAGCUAGUCAUUUUGAUGCGUAAAGCAAUGUAACCUUUAUAUAAGUGUGAAUUAAAAUAAAUUAAAUUGAAAUUUGACCAACAUUUUCUUCAAAACUAAGUCAUUUUGAUGCGAAUUUAACAUACUAUGAGAUUGUCAAGUGACAGCUUUGUGGUUGUACUUAAGAGGUUGGGAAUCCCACAUUGAAAAAAAAAAAGUAAAAUUUUCACAUGCUAUCAAGAAUUAAACCCUAGUUAUUAAGAUAAGGAAACUUACAUUCUUAUUAGUUGGAUUAAUAAUACUGAAUUUUUAAAAAUGAUGCUUAAGUAUAAAUUCAUUAAUUUCAGUUUGAAAUAUAAAAUUGUUUAAAGUAGUUUCUUUUGUCUUUGAUUUUUAUGCUAUUUAACAGAAUAGAUGUACUCAUAUCAAUUCUCUUUUCAGAAUUCAGAUUUUGGACUUGCCAAGGA
rnacentral:misc_RNA from 1 species